UAUUAUUUUAGUUACCCAAUCAAAGAAAUCAAUAAGAUUAGUUUGGCAUGAUCUCCCUGAAGUAAACUCAUGUUGUCUCUGAUCUUGAAAUCCAUGUGAUUUUAGAUGUUCAACAAUCCUAUCCUUUAACAUGGUUUCCAUUACUUUCCACACUACUGAAGUAAGGCUUACUGGCCUAUAGUUGCCCUACUCCUCCCUACUACCUUUCUUGUGAAUGGGCACAACAUUCGCUAACUUCCAAUCUUCUGGGACUACACCUGUUAACAAUGAUUGGUUAAAUAAAUCUGUUAGUGGUUUUGCUAGUACACCACUAAG